rnacentral:rRNA from 1 species
GAUGAACGCUAGCGGCAGGCCUAAUACAUGCAAGACGAACGGUAAAUAUUUUAGCAAUAGAAUAUGAGAGUGUCGUAAGGGUGCGUAACACGUAUGCAAUCUGCCCGCAACAGGAGGAUAGCUCGGGGAAACUCGAAUUAACACUCCAUAAGAUAUUAGAGUGGCAUCACUUAGAUAUUAAAAUUCCGAUGGUUGCGGAUGAGCAUGCGCAUGAUUAGCUAGUUGGCGGGGUAAUGGCCCACCAAGGCGAUGAUCAUUAGGGGAACUGAGAGGUUGAUCCCCCACACUGGCACUGAGAUACGGGCCAGACUCCUACGGGAGGCAGCAGUAGGGAAUAUUGGACAAUGGGUGAGAGCCUGAUCCAGCCAUGCCGCGUGCAGGAAGAAGGCCUUCUGGGUUGUAAACUGCUUUUGCCAGGGGAUAAACCUAUUUACGUGUAGAUAGCUGAAUGUACCGAAGGAAUAAGGAUCGGCUAACUCCGUGCCAGCAGCCGCAGUAACAC